UGUGUGUGUGUGUAUAUGUGUGUGUGUAUAUAUAUAUAUAUAUAUAUAUACAUACACACACACACACACACACACA